rnacentral:lncRNA from 1 species
AUCACACCUCAAUUCCAUUUCUUCUCUCACAGCUCCUUUCUCCAUUCAUACUUCCUGUCUCUUCAUUGAGGAAUAAAACAUCCUGGUUUAAGCUCAGAACAUAGGAAUGAAAAUAGGGAAGAAAAUAUGUGAACAAUGCACAGUGUUCUCUCCAAAAUGGCAAGAACGUCAUCUCCUAGAAAAGCACUCAGAAGUCCUUGGCCUUUGGGAAAAAAGAGCUUGCGGAAGAUGACAUUGGUUCAUUGUCCUUAAAAGGCAGAACAGGCCUCCCACUAUUGAAAACAGCUCAUUCCCUUCCACACCUGGUCCUCAGAUCAUGCUUGGGUGCCCAGGCUCCUGUGCUUAAUCUUUCUUAACUGGAUCAUCAGUGCUUGGGAAAUGGGCAGGAUAACAAUUUAAAGAGAUAAUUGACUGCACAAAUCAGCUCAUCCCUUCAAGGGAUAAAUUUUCUCACACUUUCUGGUUCUGUAAUAGGUCAGGGCUGUUGGAGACAGAGCUGGCUUUUUCCCUGAUGUCCAGGGUCCUGAAAUGAAGUAUGGCUGGGCCACUUGACUGGGAGUGCAGUUACAGAAGCCAAUGCUGGUGCUGCAGAGAGCGCAAUGCCCAAAGUGGGUGCAUCUCUGAUGGUGUAAAGGAUGAAGAACAAGCUCUGAGGAAGGUUAGCAGGAAGCUCGAUUCAAGUCACCAGCAGAAAACAGAGUUGCCUUCAUGUCUUUACUCUCAAGGUUCUGCAGCUUGCCAUAGCGGAAACCUGAAUCUUGUUAAAUGGAGAUGGGCAAUACAGGCAAUGGAUCCUUCAGGUCUCCUUCUUCCAAGCAAAUGUAGCCCUGGGAACACUUUCAUUGAAAAGAAAGAAGAGACAAAGUGACUGGUGACUGGUGAUACAAAAUCAGAAUAGGGAUAUUGGUAUUUUAUCUUCCAAUAUGUCUUCUGGACUUCUUGGUGAUACUACUAAUCAGGCGGGAGUGCUGUUGUCCCAUAUACUGCAUUUGUAUGACUCAGAAAAAGAAGCCCAUUCCUCCAGGAAGAAUCAGCCUUGGGCAUCUUGCUUGAGGAGGAGAGCAUGGGCUCAAUUUCUAUUGCAGUGACUAGCUUCUCCAACCCAAACCAGCUACUCUUCUCCAAUGAACAACCUGAACAUCCACACAUGGUGGACCUGUGAAUAGACCUUUGUUUUACAAGUUGCUGUGACUGAAAUGGCUGUGAAAUGAGGACUAAACUGACCGCAAGCAUUGUGCACAAUGAGGUAUACUUAAGGGGAUGUGUGUGUGUGUGUGUCCUGGUAAAUAACUGAAUUGCCAAAGAUGUCUACAGAAGUCCAAGGUGGGUAACAAGAAUGAGAACCAACAAAGGCAGCAUCUCCUAAAAUGUGUUUAGCAGGACCAACUUACCAGGAGAUAAUGAAAAAGCAAGAGGUGGACCUCAAGUCAUUAGGAGAGAAGAAAAUUAAAACCAGACGAUUGGCCCACUGGUGAUAAGUUGCCUGGAAUAAUCAGAGAAUUUGAAGGCUGGCUUGGUUAUCCCUGGAAUCUGGCCCAAUUCUGGUUUAUAGCAAAUGUUGUUAACUAGGGGGUCCAUCAGUGACCUUCAGGGGACCUGUGAACCUCCUGAAAUUACAGUAUUAUUUUGCAUGUAUGUGUGCAUACACACUUUUGCUGUGGAGGGUCUUAGCAGUCAUCAGAUUAUCGGAUUAAGAACUGGUCUCGGCCAGGCACGGUGGCUCACGCCUGUAAUCUCAACACUUUGGGAGGCCGAGGCAGGCGGA